rnacentral:rRNA from 1 species
CCUACGGGUGGCAGCAGUGAGGAAUAUUGGUCAAUGGACGAAAGUCUGAACCAGCCAUGUCGCGUGCAGGAAGACGGCUCUAUGAGUUGUAAACUGCUUUUGUACAAGGGUAAACCUGAAUACGUGUAUUCAGCUGAAAGUACUGUACGAAUAAGGAUCGACUAACUCCGUGCCAGCAGCCGCGGUAAUACGGAGGAUCCAAGCGUUAUCCGGAUUUAUUGGGUUUAAAGGGUGCGUAGGCGGAUUGAUAAGUUAGAGGUGAAAUUUGCGGGCGCAACUCGGGAACUGCCUUUAAUACUGUUGAUCUAGAGGGUAGGUGCAGUAGGCGGAAUGCAUGGUGUAGCGGUGAAAUGCUUAGAGAUCAUACAGAACACCGAUUGCGAAGGCAGCUUACCAAUCUAUAUCUGACGUUGAGGCACGAAAGCGUGGGGAGCAAACAGGAUUAGAUACCCUUGUAGUC